rnacentral:rRNA from 1 species
CGAAAGCCUGACGGAGCAAUGCCGCGUGAGUGAAGAAGGCCUUCGGGUCGUAAAGCUCUGUUAUAAGAGAAGAACACCUUGUAGAGGAACUGCUUCAAGCUUGACGGUUUCUUAUCAAAAAGCCACGGGUUACUACUUGCCAGCAGCCGCGGUAAUAC